rnacentral:misc_RNA from 1 species
UUGCGACUCCCGAUCGCUACUUGCUGAGCUUUAUUCCGACUUGUUUGUUACUUAAAUUGUCGAUUAUAUUCUUAACAACUAGGAAUAAGCGUUCUGCGAUCAUAGAACAGAGCUUAGAUCAUCGUAUGGUGACUUAGUUUGUCUUAUAAGUCGUGUAUUUGCGAAAACAUGUAGCUUAUAAGUAUGUGUCGGCUUUAGUGAUCAUAUUUCACGGUUCCGAUAACAGUUUGUUUCAUUGUGUCGCGAGAAACGAAGUGUUAUGUUCGUGUUUUAGCGUUUAGCAGCCGUUAGGAGUUUGAAACUUCACGAUGAUGGAAGCAUGCUGUUCUCGCUUCACGUCAGCGGAGGGGGGCGCCCGCCUCGCUGCCGCCGCCGCCACCAAGAACAUUCUUGCAGUAGAGUACGCUAGCUUCAUACCCGUGAGGCUGUUGUAUGAGAAGGCCUAUCAGAUUAGAGGCUCUCUAUCUGAAGGGCGCAAACGCUCAGUCUACAUUACCCGCGCGUCCCGGGUACGAGUGGUGGCCUUCGAGCUGAAGAUACUCACAGACUUGGCCACGGCGGCUGCUCAGCUGUACCCUGACGUGAACGAUUGGAGCGCCGAGUUGGAGACCAAGGAGGUCCUAAUCUGCACGUCCUCAGUGCUGAAGCGGCUGCUAGAGGAACAACUCCUGAGCAUCAGCAACAUCAACGUGCUCAUCAUAGACAGCUGUCAUCUCAUAUACAGCGACCAGGACUUGAAAUAUAUAAUGCGAUCAUACAAAGAAUGCCCACAAGCAGACCAACCAACCAUACUAGCUCUCACUUACCCUCUAUUUUCAACAAAAAAAGACUUAGAUAAAGACAAUAAAAAUAAACCUAAUGACACAAACAACACACAGAAAGAUCUAGAACAACAAUCUCCUGAAAAAGAGAGUGAGAUUGAAGAAGAGAAUACUACAGGAAAGAUGGAGAUUGAAAAUACAAAAAAUGUUGAAAAUGAUAAUUCAAAAACAGAGAAUGAGAUUGAAGGUAAAGAAAUAGCCUUAAAAGAAGAAAUGACAAAUGGAGAAGGAGAAAGACAUGUACAAGUAGUGAAACAACAAGAGUUAGGAGAAGAGAUGGGAGUGUAUGAGAAUUUGGAUGAUUUCGACAUGUAUGAGAAGUUAGAGUGGAAGAUAGAAGAGUUGGAGAGUGAGUUGUGCUGUCAGAUGGACUUGGCUGAAGAUAUUGAUGGCGGGAAGAGGACGGCCUCCUCAAUCUCGAAGCCCAAAGAGCUAAUCAUAGAGUACGGUAGCCGUCCAUCAGACGAGACGCUGCCCGCUCUGUACCAAGAUGUAGAUACAUACAUGAGAGUGACCGUACAAGACGCUUUACACUUCAUUGAUGAUCACCGCCAUGACCCCACAGAAAUAUACGGCGAGGAGAUGUAUGACGAGUUCAUGAGUAUUCCGGACCCCAAGAUAGACCCCACGCUGGUGUUCAAGCAGUUCCUAUACGUGCUCGAUCAGUUGGGCCCCUACGCAGCGGACAAAGCAGCUUUCGCAUUACUAACAAAAUUAGAAAAACUCAAAAUCAAAAUACCUUAUGAACGCCACUUCAUACUCAUGUGUUUAUGUACCACAGUAUUUUUGAAAAUCCGAUGCUACGCCGAAAUGAUUUUCGAAAAAGUCGACGACGAAUGGGAAAGAUUAAAGACCUUUUCGUCGCCGAAAAUCAUGAGAUUGGCCGAAAUUUUGGAGAAGUUCAAACCGCCGGAUAUUCGGCCUAAUAAUUCGGCUGUUAACGGAAAGGAUAGUCGGGAUAGUAAGGAUAGAGCAAAUGAGGUUGUGUCUACUGGUUGUGAUAACUUAAGUAAAGGGAAUUUAAAGAAAAUGUUAAGUGAAAUAGAAGAUUGUGAUUUCGCAUCUUUAGGCGACAGAAUUGAAGAUCGAGUGAAUACUUACGUUUGUAAUUUAAAAGACCUUGACUAUCCUAUAGAAGACUAUCCUUUAAGUAUUAAUAGCCAAAUCCUUUUAGAUCAGGAUAUUAACGAGACAGAUAUUCCUGAAUCGGCUGAAGAUAUUUCUAAUAAUGAAAGUUCAACUAUCCCAACUGAAACAACCAAUCUUAUUACGAAUGACCGGGAUAGUGCAGAAAAAUCAAUUAAUCGAACGGAUAGUGGUGUUAAUAUCCCGGAUAGUUGCGUUAACGGGCCGGAUAGUAGUGUUAAUCAGCCGGAUAGUCGUAAUACUGAAGUGGCGUUACAACAGCGAGGAAUGUUAGGGUUUCCUAGACGUGCAGGGUACAGGAUGAGGGGCAAGUCUCGGAUGCAACGCAACAAUGCAGCGAGGGUGCUGCAGAUGCAACAGAACCCAGAUGCACUUUGUGGCAUCGUGUUCAUGAAGGAGCCGCUGAUGGCUAAGAUCCUGUUUAUGGUGCUCGUGGAUAUGUCCCGGAGUAACCCCCACUUGUCGUACCUGAGCGUACAAUACUGCGGCACGGAGCUGCCGGCCGACCCCGGGACUGAGCCCCGCGAGUGUCUGCGCCAGGGGAAGCGCCAGGAGGACGUGCUCAAGAAAUUCCGCAUGCACGAGUGUAACCUGCUUCUAGCGACGUCUGCGCUAGAAGAGGGCAUUGACCUCCCGCGGUGUAACCUUGUACUAAGAUGGGACGUACCGCCCUCCUACCGCUCGUACGGUCUCUGUCGCGGCCGAGCCCGUGCCACUCGCGCGACAGCCGCGCUACUGUGCAGCAACAGUCGCGACACUACUGAGAUGUUGCUGCAGAAUGUCGCUACUUACAGGGAGCUGGAUCAGAUUAUCAGCAGAAAAUGCGGCUGUGGCAUUCAGGAUGAGCCUCCGCAAACCGAGGAAGAUCACGCGGACGCUUUCACAAGCUUCGUCAAACCCUACACUCCUAUAGAUAGUACUAGCCAAAAUAUACAGGAAAGCAAAGAUACCAAAGAAAAAGAUAAAGAUAAGAAUGAGAGCAAAGAUAAAAAUGCAGCUAGCAAAAGUAAAAAAGUUAAGUUCGAAAGUAAAGUUCAAGAAAAAGUUAUAACUGAUAAUGCAAAUGGGGUAGACACGGGUAAUAAUAAUAUAAGAUUAAAUAGUUCUGUGGAUAAUAAUGUAAGUUUAAAUAACGAUAAUGCGAAUAUUCAUUCCAAAAAUAACAACGAAAAUGUUACUUUAAAUGAAGAAGUUAACACUAAAAAUAAUGCCGAAAACAUUAUUAAUAAUGCAGUGAAAACAGUUAAUAAUGUUGUUAAAUCUGUUAACGAAGUCAUUAAUAAUGUUAACGAAGCUGUUAAUAUAGGAAUUAACGAUCUCAUUAACCAAAUUAUUGACGAAACCGCUAGUUUGAAUGUUAGUGAUGAAAUAGAAAACAAUAAUGGUGAGAUUUCUAAUAGUAUAGACGCUGAAACGUCACAGAAUAGCGAAACUGGUGAAUUAGAGGUAAAAUUGGACAAAAAUCAUGUUGAUAUCGAUAAUCAUUCGAUUAAAAACGACUCGAUAACAAAUGAAAUCGAUAUUAAGCCAAUUAAAACUGAAAUCGAAAAUCAUUCGAGUACAAACGACUCGAUAAGAACCGAAACCGAUAUCGAACCAAAUACAAGCAAAAUCGAUAAACGAUCGAAUGACAAAGAAGAAUCGAAUAAAGAAAUCGAGUUAUCGUUCAAUAAUUGUGAGAAGUGUUACAAUGUGAAGAUCAGUGGUGUGUGUCUGUGUGCGAAUGUUAAUAUGUACUAUCAACUCUUAGCUAAAGCUAGUGCGAUGAAUAAAUCGGAUUUCAAGAAGAAUAUUAGUGAAAAUGAACCUACUGCUAGCGUUGAUUUGAGUACUGCCAUUGCGUUAAUUAAUAGAUACUGCGGCAAACUACCUUCAGACACAUUCACCCGGCUAGCUCCUCAGUGGUGGAUGGAAGAGAUCCAACUGCCGGUAGCCGGGUCCAAUGAUACCCGGACUGCUUACAUCUGCACGCUGCGGCUGCCUCUCAACUGCCCCGUCAAGUAUAAUAUAGUGGGACACCCGAUGCCCACUAAGGUGUUGGCGCGAAGGAUGGUGGCGCUACAAGCAUGCAGGAUACUGCACAAGAGUGGAGAACUCGAUAACCAGCUGAUGCCUAUAGGUAAAGAGAAUUUCAAGGCGGCUGAGCUGGGCGGGUCGGGCGUUACUCGGGAGGCGGAUGCCGGUGACUCAGCCCGCCCCGGCACCACCAAGCGCAGGCAGUAUUACUAUAAACGAACAGCAUGGGCAUUCACGGACUGCCAGCCGGUCAUAGACUCCACGGACGAGGAGAUAUACCCGGGCGUAGACCCGAGCACGUUGGACAUAGACAGCGACACAGAGCCGGGACAGUCGGAGGAUAGUCAGAAGGAAGAGGGGGGUGAGGAAGUCAGGAAAGAGGGGGGAGGUAAUAAACGCAACAUGCUAUACGCGAUAGUGUGCAAGCUGUGGUGUGCUCUCCCGGAGCGCUACAACACGCGCGGGCGCCGCCUGCACGCGCCGCAGCUCGCCAGCCAGGCCAUCGGCAUCCUCAUGUCGCGGCACGAGCCUGACAGCCUUCAGAUCCCGGCGUUCCCUGUGUACACUCGGUCAGGCGAGGUCAGGGUGUCUGUGGAGCAUGUACCGUCAGCAGAUGUACGGGUCUGCCCGCGCAGAGCCAAGCUGGUCAGGAGAUUCAUGCGCUUCGUGUUCGCGGAGGUGCUGCGAGUGCGAAGACGCGGCAUGAAGUUACAGAGCGAAGGCUCUACGCACAACAACUACUAUAUCGUGCCUACUGUUAAGACUACGAAUGAAGAUGGUACCCAUAAAAUAGACAUAGACUGGGCAUUCCUAGAACUGAUCUACCAACAUACAGAAGAAAAAAAACUCUCUGACAUAGAGAAACCGCUCCUCUGGCAAGACAACCCGGAUGAAGAGCAUAGAGUGGAGAGGGAGAGCCAUAGACGGAGGAGGGGGAAGAAGAGGAUGGCUAAUCCUCUUUUGAAGAAAGGAGAAGUGUUUGUGUUUGACGCUGAGAAGUAUAGCGAGGCGGUCGUCACUCCGUGGUAUAGGAAUCAGGAUCAGCCACAGUUCUUCCUCGUAGCGGAGAUCUGUUGGAACCUGACUCCCGACUCCUCAUUCCCGUCAGCGACCCACCAGAGCUUCAGAGACUACUACAGCACUAAGUACGGAGUCAGCCUGACCCAGAGGGAACAGCCGCUGUUAGAUGUAGACCACACCAGUGCCAGGCUCAACCUGCUCACUCCCAGAUACGUGAACCGCAAAGGCGUGGCGCUUCCAGUGUCCUCCGAGCGUACUCGCCGAGCCAAACGCGACCGCCUCGACCAGAAACAGAUCCUUAUACCCGAGCUGUGCCGGGUGCAUCCAUUCGCUGCACCUCUGUGGUUCGCUACAGUGGCGCUGCCCUGUGUACUGUACAGAAUAAAUGCCCUUCUCAUAGCGGAUGAGAUCCGUCGCGCGGUGGCCAUCGACGUGGGGCUCGGCAUACCCAAGAUCAACGAGGACACCAUGCCGGGCUUCCAGUGGCCUGCACUCGACUUCGGGUGGAGUCUAGCUGAGGUAUUGAGCGCAGAUUCAGAGAAGAAUGAUAAGAAGAAAGAAGAGGAAGAAUCUAAGAAAGAAAAAGAAGAAAAAGAAAAGAAGCAAAUCGAAGAAGGACAGAAGAGCACAGAAGUGGAGAAGAGUGAAGAAGUCAGAGAGAAGACUAUCAACGAUAUACUGCAGGAGAAGGAGGACGCUGCCGCUGAGGCGUUUGAAAUCGGCACUUGGAGCAACGACAUGGCGUCUUCCAUCCCCGAGUCGAGCGAGUUCGACGAGCUCAUGGAACCGCUGCCUUCUAACCUCACCUUCUGCACUUCUGCGAGUGGCGGCACCGACUGGUGCGAUCCUACAGGCAGGCACAAGUACAGCAAGAACUUCGCCAUGGCCGACAGUGAUGACUCUUUUAUGUCCAGUGACCUGGACUCGGAUGACUCUGACCUGGAUUACGACGGGACGGACGAAGAGACUGACACCAGUGGCUACGGGAGCGCCAAGAAUCCUAACACAUCAAUGGGCGUCCGCAUAGAAUACAAGACAGCUCACGAGGCUGAAGCGUUCGACAUCGAGCGAGUCAAGAAGGUCAACCCGGCACCGCUGCCCGACGAACAUGAUGACGCAGCCGACAGGGACGAACACGACAGGGUUAUACGCCAGGGCAGUGCGCCACAAGAGUACAUCGAAAAAUUCCGCGCCUCAGUAGCCCAACAUAAACAAGAGAUCAUACAAAAGAACCACCUAAUUACCAAAGACAACCACAUCACAGACAUCUUACCAGAGACUAAAGACUCCUACCAUAGUGCAGUCAUCUGUAAACGCAGCGAGAACGAUGCUAUCACCGAACUCUUUCCUUAUGGCACAGACGAAUUAACCGUCAAAAACGGACAAAUUGACAUUGAAAGCAUAGAAAAAAAUAAACGAAAAAUUCUCCAAGAUUUGAAGAAUAAUUUGCCUAAGGAAGAAGUGAAGAAGUUGAAUUGUUUCGCUAUGAAAGACAUAAACAUUGAUUCGGAAGAUUAUGUGAAUGAAAAAGUGGUGAAUGUUGGUUUCGAUACGAAAGAAGGGUAUGAGAAGGCCAGUAAAGGGGUGGGGGAGUUUAAGCCCUAUUAUGAAGACGGGAGGGGGGGCAAGGAGUUUGAUUUUGAUUACCAACCGACGCUAGAAGGACAUCCGGGGCCAAGUCCUAGUGUUAUAUUGCAGGCGCUAACAAUGUCGAAUGCCAACGACGGCAUCAACCUGGAACGACUGGAGACCAUCGGAGACAGCUUCCUCAAGUUCGCCAUCACAGCAUAUCUGUACUGCGCCCACCCCACUGUGCACGAGGGCAAGCUCAGCCAUAUGCGCAGCAAGCAGGUAUCGAACCUCAAUCUAUACCGCCUAGGACGCAACAAACGUCUCGGAGCGCGGAUGAUCGCGUCUAAGUUCGAACCUCACGACAAUUGGCUGCCGCCCUGUCAUAAACCACCGCCUACGCUACAUCCUAGGAUCAAUGGCGAAGGCAAAGACAUAAUGCAGCACUUGGACACGCCGCAGGACUCGGCCGGAUGCUUCAUACCUUACAACCUCAUCACGCAGCAUAGCAUACCAGACAAGUCAAUAGCGGAUUGCGUGGAAGCCCUAAUAGGCGCGUACCUGCUAGAGUGCGGUCCCCGCGGAGCCCUGCUGUUCAUGUCGUGGCUCGGCAUCCGGGUGCUGCCGUGCCACCACGUGGCUCUGCACGACACCCACCCCUACGUGGCUACUGCCACCCGCAGCGACAAGCAGCAGGCCGAGGCUUCCCCCCGUGGGCCGCGCAGCCGCGUGUCGUCGUGCUCGGAGGACGAGGCGGAGGAGGUGUUCCCGGCGCAGUCGUGGUCGUGGCCGUCGCGGGCUGUCGGCUCGCUGAGGCCUUAUACUGAUGAGAACGGACGGUGGAUGCAGCCGAUAUUCGGGGAGCUGAAGGCGCCGCCGUCACCUCUGCUCCGGUACAUUGAGGACCCCGACGGAGAGUUGGAACAAAUGCUCUCAGGCUACGACGCCCUAGAGCGCACGCUGCAGUACCGCUUCAAGGACCGCUCGCUGCUGCUGCAGGCGCUGACGCACGCCUCGCAUCACGCCAACCGCCUCACCGACUGCUACCAGCGCCUCGAGUUCCUCGGAGACGCUAUACUGGGUAAUGUUAUACCACGCUGCAGUACCGCUUCAAGGACCGCUCGCUGCUGCUGCAGGCGCUGACGCACGCCUCGCAUCACGCCAACCGCCUCACCGACUGCUACCAGCGCCUCGAGUUCCUCGGAGACGCUAUACUGGGUAAUGUUAUACCACGCUGCAGUACCGCUUCAAGGACCGCUCGCUGCUGCUGCAGGCGCUGACGCACGCCUCGCAUCACGCCAACCGCCUCACCGACUGCUACCAGCGCCUCGAGUUCCUCGGAGACGCUAUACUGGGUAAUGUUAUACCACGCUGCAGUACCGCUUCAAGGACCGCUCGCUGCUGCUGCAGGCGCUGACGCACGCCUCGCAUCACGCCAACCGCCUCACCGACUGCUACCAGCGCCUCGAGUUCCUCGGAGACGCUAUACUGGGUAAUGUUAUACCACGCUGCAGUACCGCUUCAAGGACCGCUCGCUGCUGCUGCAGGCGCUGACGCACGCCUCGCAUCACGCCAACCGCCUCACCGACUGCUACCAGCGCCUCGAGUUCCUCGGAGACGCUAUACUGGGUAAUGUUAUACCACGCUGCAGUACCGCUUCAAGGACCGCUCGCUGCUGCUGCAGGCGCUGACGCACGCCUCGCAUCACGCCAACCGCCUCACCGACUGCUACCAGCGCCUCGAGUUCCUCGGAGACGCUAUACUGGGUAAUGUUAUACCACGCUGCAGUACCGCUUCAAGGACCGCUCGCUGCUGCUGCAGGCGCUGACGCACGCCUCGCAUCACGCCAACCGCCUCACCGACUGCUACCAGCGCCUCGAGUUCCUCGGAGACGCUAUACUGGGUAAUGUUAUACCACGCUGCAGUACCGCUUCAAGGACCGCUCGCUGCUGCUGCAGGCGCUGACGCACGCCUCGCAUCACGCCAACCGCCUCACCGACUGCUACCAGCGCCUCGAGUUCCUCGGAGACGCUAUACUGGGUAAUGUUAUACCACGCUGCAGUACCGCUUCAAGGACCGCUCGCUGCUGCUGCAGGCGCUGACGCACGCCUCGCAUCACGCCAACCGCCUCACCGACUGCUACCAGCGCCUCGAGUUCCUCGGAGACGCUAUACUGGGUAAUGUUAUACCACGCUGCAGUACCGCUUCAAGGACCGCUCGCUGCUGCUGCAGGCGCUGACGCACGCCUCGCAUCACGCCAACCGCCUCACCGACUGCUACCAGCGCCUCGAGUUCCUCGGAGACGCUAUACUGGACUACCUGAUCACGCGUCACCUGUACGAGGACGGGCGGCGACACUCGCCGGGCGCGCUGACGGACCUGCGCUCGGCGCUCGUCAACAACACCAUCUUCGCCACCCUCGCCGCCAGGCACGGCUUCCACAA